AGCUUACACUGGUAUGGUUUCUCGCCGGAGUGAAUACGAAGAUGUUUCGUUAAAGUAGAACUGUCCGAGAAUGCUUUUUUGCAGAAUCGACACCUGGAAGAAAGAAGAUUGCCAGUUAAAAGAUUCUGAAAUAUUGGUAACUACUUCAAAUUACAGUCAAUGCAACACGUAAGAGUGGCACGUAAGAUAUUGGGCAUACACGGUGAUUUCGUGAAGUUGUAAGCGAUAAAUUUUUAUUGCUUAAUAGAGUGAUAUAAGUAAGUAGAUUUUCGCUACAUUGCCAUAUGUGAAGAUACAGCAGCGGUAUUGUUGGAAGUGACGAAAGAGUGCGUUCUGAGAUGCGUCUUGAGAGUGCUGGGUCUUGCAUACGAUUUACCGCAGAUUCUGCAGAGGUUAGGUCUGCCAUUGUCAUCGGGU